GAUAUUCUUAGGUAAUUUUGGUUGGAAGUGUUGGGGAAUGGGUUGGACCAGCUAAGCCACAACUUGAACAACACGUCAGGCGUGGGACCCGCACUCGAGCCAAGUUGUGUAACUCGGACAAGAUUUCUCGAUCCAGCAAGCACUUUAUAUACUUUAUACAACGUCACUAUUUAGGAGGGCUUUUACGCAAUUUUUUUAUGUGUACUUUUUUUUUUUUUUUUAGAGAGAUAGGUAGCACGCUAUCCGCUUCGUUUUUUUUUUUAGAAUUCGAAUUUGAAAUUUCAAGUAUCAAUCAUCAAAUCUUUUGUUACUUACGCUAGAGAUGGUCGAUAUGUACUGUACUUAUUUUUUAAAAAAAAUACUUUUUUUUUUUUUUAGAGAGAAAGGUAGCAUGCUACCUGCUUUAUUUAUUUCAUUCAGAAAUAAACUUAGUUGAAAAUGUGAAUUAACUAGGAUUCGAACUUGAGUCUCGGAUACCAACCACCAAAUCUUUUAUCACUUGCGCUAGGGAUGGUCGAUAAAAAUAAAUAAAUAAAUAAAAAAAAAUACUUCUUAUACAUCUAAAAAGAAGGCAUAGAUUUAACACUUCUAUCUUAAAAUUGAU
rnacentral:lncRNA from 1 species